AGCGAACGCUGGCGGCAGGCCUAACACAUGCAAGUCGAACGAACUCUUCGGAGUUAGUUGCGGACGGGUGAGUAACACGUGGGAACGGGGCUUUUUGUUCGGGAUAACACAGGGAAACUUGGGCUAAUACCGAAUGUGCCCUUCGGGGGAAAGAUUUAUCGCCAUUAGAGCGGCCCGCGUCUGAUUAGCUAGUUGGUGAGGUAACGGCUCACCAAGGCGACGAUCAGUAGCUGGUCUGAGAGGAUGACCAGCCACACUGGGACUGAGACACGGCCCAGACUCCUACGGGAGGCAGCAGUGGGGAAUCUUGCGCAAUGGGCGAAAGCCUGACGCAGCCAUGCCGCGUGAAUGAUGAAGGUCUUAGGAUUGUAAAAUUCUUUCACCGGGGACGAUAAUGACGGUACCCGGAGAAGAAGCCCCGGCUAACUUCGUG
rnacentral:rRNA from 1 species